rnacentral:pre_miRNA from 14 species
GAUGGUGUGCCCCAGGAAACACCGAUCCUGGACGAGCCCCCAGAUGAAAGAUCCCCAAAGAGAGACGCUUUCUAAAGUCGAGGGAAAUCGCAGACCCCAGACACAGAGAGACCA